CUGCUGAUCAGAUCUGUUGUAUUAGAGUUUAUUUAUGCUCCCUGUAGUUCUCCAGGUUUUUCAGUUCUUUUACUAACAUUGUGUAUUUUCUUUGUCUUUGCAUCAGAAGGGCAUUUUGCUGCUGCGGUAGAGUCUAAUUAGUGAAUUUUAUUUCAAACUCAUCUCUAAAAUUACCUCUUACAAUAUCAGACUUUAAUGCCCUUUUAAAAGUCUUCAUUCUGAAAACAGCUCAGAGAGCACUAUGAUGGAAAUGUUGGUAAAUGGGAUGGAAUAGAAAAAUGCCGUAGGAGAGAGUUGUUAUUGAUGUCUUUCAGUUAAUGUACUUUAUUAUCUUCAAUUGAAAUCCCUGUGGUUAUCUGAUAUGCUUAUUUUUCUGGAAGGUGUCCUCACAAUAUUUUGUAAAGGUGGUGCUUUUAGGUUUUGCUCAUUGGUAUUAUUUUAAGCUGUAUCUUUGAAAACUAACUUCUGCCUAUUGCUUUUUAGAGGCAGCCCUCUAUCAUAGAUCUCCUAACAACCUGUAAACACCAGUUUUAUAAGAGUCUACAGUUUUGACAGUUGGUUAUGUGAUACCAGACUCUUUUCAAGACUAUUGUAAAUGAAAUGCUUCUUACAAUCUCUGAUUUUUUGCACUUCCAUACAUGUAAGAAAGAGGGCAGGAGUAUUUUCUACAGUUGGACUCUGAAGAGGAAGGCUAUGAAAGGAACGUACAGAGAAAGUCUGGAAUAAGCAGACAGUCAUUUGUAUGGACUAAUAUUGUUCCCUGCUAAAGCUUGCUUAAGUUUGAUACUCACUGUAUUUUUUUUUUCCAGAGGCUGAACUGGAAACUUUUGUGCUUCCACAGUUUAGAACUGAUACUAAGGUGUCAUUAUUAGUAAUCCUAAGCAGUGUCUAUAGGUCUCAGGUAACUUGUGUUCACUUUAUCCUCAGCAUUUAGACAUUUAGUAAUUGCAGUGGGAUGAGAAAAAAAUUAUUAAAUCCACAUGGCUACUUUGUUUUUUUUUCACUGGGAUUUGAAAUGGGAGUUAUCAUAGUCAUUUUUAGCUUAUCAGUCUAAAAAUGAUAAAAAGAACCAGGAAGUGAUUAAAAAGCCAGGAAGAUGUGUGGGAGAUCCCAUCCUGAGCACAAAGCAGAGAAAGAGAGCUGAGAGAGCUCUCCCAGAGCAGCCGCCGAGAGUGAAAGCUUGAUCCCAGGACUUGCAGCUUAGCUUGAGACCUCAGCUCUGAGGGAUGCCAUUAGGGAAGGAGGACGCUGCCAAGUUAGACAUUUACUUCACCGCUGUAGCUGAAGCUGUAGCUGUAGUUUCUCUGCCUUGAAGCAGAGAAACACUUUGGUAGUUAAGAAUACUAUUUUUAAUGAAAUGCAAUUUUAGAUUAUACAUAGUUUACCUUUUUACUUUUUUUUCUUUGUAAUCUUGUUUCCAACUUUAUAACCAAGAAAGUAAUCUUUUGCUUUGUUAGAUGAAAUUUGUUUUCAUUUAUAAGUCAUCUACUGUUAAAAAUGAACAGACCUGACAAACUUAUUUCUCCAGACAAGAUGUAUCCUAGGAAAGCAGGGUGUAAAGCUGUCAAGCAGCAUCGAUCUACAACCUGAGAGAAGGCUGGGCUUUUCUGGAGCUGCGCAUGCCUCCUGCCAACUGGAGGAGUCAGUGUGCACCUGGCAUCAGCUGCUGACUGGUCUAGGAAGAAGUCUUGGCAGACGAGGAACAGGAGGAAUAAAGCAGAGAGCCCUGGGUAAUCCCCCAGAUCAUUGUAUUCUUCUAGCUUCCAGCUUCAGAGAAGCACUUUUUAACCAAUCAUUACAAAUAACUGGUACUAAGGACCCAUGCUACAAGGUGAAGCAUAUAUGCUAUUAAAUGGUCUAUAUUACUUACCUUCUCCUGGCUGAAGGUGCAGUCAUUUGGAAAAAGAAUAAAUGUUUUUGAAAGUG